AGGCAGCAGUGGGGAAUAUUGCACAAUGGGCGCAAGCCUGAUGCAGCCAUGCCGCGUGUAUGAAGAAGGCCUUCGGGUUGUAAAGUACUUUCAGCAGUGAGGAAGGUGGAGUCGUUAAUAGCGGCCUCAUUUGACGUUAGCUGCAGAAGAAGCACCGGCUAACUCCGUGCCAGCAGCCGCGGUAAUACGGAGGGUGCGAGCGUUAAUCGGAAUUACUGGGCGUAAAAGCGCAUGCAGGUGGUUUGUUAAGUCAGAUGUGAAAGCCCGGGGCUCAACCUCGGAAUUGCAUUUGAAACUGGCAGACUAGAGUACUGUAGAGGGGGUAGAAUUUCAGGUGUAGCGGUGAAAUGCGUAGAGAUCUGAAGGAAUACCGGUGGCGAAGGCGGCCCCCUGGACAGAUACUGACACUCAGAUGCGAAAGCGUGGGGAGCAAACAGGAUUAGAUACCCUGGUAG
rnacentral:rRNA from 1 species